ensembl:lncRNA
GGGACUAGUUUGUAGGAGGGUAGGGGUUAAGGAAGGGGACUAGUCUGGGAGGGUAGGGGUUAAGGAAGGGGACUAGUCUGGGAGGGUAGGGUUUGAGGAAGGGGACUAGUUUGAGGAAGGGGACUAGUUUGUAGGAGGGUAGGGGUUAAGGAAGGGGACUAGUUUGUGGGAGGGUAGGGGUUAAGGAAGGGGACUAGUUUAGUAGGGGGUAGGGAAGGGGACUAGUUUGUAGGAGAGUAGGGGUAGGGAAGGGACUAGUCUGCAGGAGGGGAAGGACUAGUGUGUAGUAGGGUAGGGGUUAAGGAAGGGGACUAGUCAGGGGAGGGUAGGGGUUAAGGAAGGGGACUAGUUUGUGGGAGGGGACUAGUUUGUAGGAGGGUAGGGGAUAGGGAAGGGGACUAGUUUGAGGAAGGGGACUAGUUUGUAGGAGGGUAGGGGAUAGGGAAGGGGACUAGUUUGUAGGAGGGGAAGGGGACUAGUGUGUAGUAGGGCAGGGGUUAAGGAAGGGGACUAGUUUGUGGGAGGGUAGGGGUUAAGGAAGGGGACUAGUUUGUGGGAGGGUAGGGGUUAAGGAAGGGGACUAGUUUGUUGUAGGGUAGGGGUUAAGGAAGGGGACUAGUUUGUAGUAGGGUAUGGGUUAAGGAAGGGGACUAGUUUGUAGUAGGGUAGAGGGUUAAGGAAGGGGACUAGUUUGUUGUAGGGUAGGGUAGGGGUUAAGGAAGGGGACUAGUUUGUUGUAGGGGUUAAGGAAGGGGACUAGUUUGUAGUAGGGUAGGGGUUAAGGAAGGGGACUAGUUUGUGGGAGGGUAGGGGUUAAGGAAGGGGACUAGUUUGUUGUAGGGGUUAAGGAAGGGGACUAGUUUGUGGGAGGGUAGGGGUUAAGGAAGGGGACUAGUUUGUUGUAGGGUAGGGGGUUAAGGAAGGGGACUAGUUUGUAGUAGGGUAGGGGUUAAGGAAGGGGACUAGUUUGUGGGAGGGUAGGGGUUAAGGAAGGGGACUAGUUUGUGGGAGGUUAGGGGUUAAGGAAGGGGACUAGUUUGUGGGAGGUUAGGGGUUAAGGAAGGGGACUAGUUUGUAGUAGGGUAGGGGUUAAGGAAGGGGACUAGUCUGCAGGAGGGUAGGGGUUAAGGAAGGGGACUAGUUUGUAGGGGUUAGGGAAGUGGACUAGUGUGUAGGAGGGCAGGGGUUAAGGAAGGGGACUAGUUUGUGGGAGGUUAGGGGUUAAGGAAGGGGACUAGUUUGUGGGAGGUUAGGGGUUAAGGAAGGGGACUAGUUUGUAGUAGGGUAGGGGUUAAGGAAGGGACUAGUCUGCAGGAGGGUAGGGGUUAAGGAAGGGGACUAGUUUGUAGUAGGGUAGGGGUUAAGGAAGGGGACUAGUCUGCAGGAGGGUAGCGGUUAAGGAAGGGGACUAGUUUGUAGGGGUUAGGGAAGUGGACUAGUGUGUAGGAGGGUAUGGGACCCGGCUAGCACCUGAGUGGAAUAUAAAGACAGUACGGUCAACUCUUUACAUGUGCUCCUCUGAUCCUACUGAUGGACUUCCAGACUCAGUAUCCCAGAAGCACUACUGCUGCUCACCACGAUUGAGGAGCUGUCCUGUAGUUUAUGAAGGCAGUAGGGUAGAGUUGCACCCUUUCCCUUUGUCUAAUGUUUUUACAGGUUGAAAUGUCUCGCUUUGGCCAAACUCUGCUUCUCUCAGUCUCUGGCUAGCUAGCCAGGCUACUGUUUCUGUAUAGGACCAGGCUAGGAGAGUUAGCAUGACUACUGUCUCUGUAUAGGACCAGGCUAGGAGAGUUAGCAUGACUACUGUCUCUGUAUAGGACCAGGCUAGGAGAGUUAGCAUGACUACUGUCUCUGUAUAGGACCAGGCUAGGAGAGUUAGCAUGACUACUGUUUCUGUAUAGGACCAGGCUAGGAGAGUUAGCAUGACUACUGUUUCUGUAUAGGACCAGGCUAGGAGAGUUAGCAUGACUACUGUUUCUGUAUAGGACCAGGCUAGGAGAGUUAGCAUGACUACUGUCUCUGUAUAGGACCAGGCUAGGAGAGUUAGCAUGACUACUGUUUCUGUAUAGGACCAGGCUAGGAGAGUUAGCAUGACUACUGUUUCUGUAUAGGACCAGGCUAGGAGAGUUAGCA